GAUUUCAUUAAUUGUACCUCAGUCGUUGACAAGCACUUAACAAGUUUAUUGUACGAUUAAAACUACAUCAAAAAGUUCAAACAGUUGUUUCAAAAUAACUAUUUCUAUAUAUUUUUGCUUGUAUUCUUUAAAAAGCAAACACUAUCGGAUAAGAUUCGUAUCUAUAUAAAUUCACGUAGCAUUAGAAUUCGCGCGAAGUUAAAACUGAACGAAAAAUAGGUUUGUCA